rnacentral:misc_RNA from 1 species
CAACCCUCAAGCUCUGCUUGGUAUUGGGCGCCGUCCUCUUGCGGACACGCCUCAAAGACCUCGGCGGUGGCCCUGGCCCUCAAGCGUAGUAGAAUACACCUCGCUUUGGAGCGGUUUGGAGUCGCCCGCCGGACGAACCUUCUGAAUUUUCUCAA